ensembl:snRNA U6 U6 spliceosomal RNA
UGCUCCCUUCGGACGCACAUGUAUAAAAUUGGAAUGAUAUAGAGAAGAUUACCAAUGGCUCCUGCACUAGGAUGACAUGCAAAUUUAUUUGUUCCAUAUUUAA